AGUUGUGGUCGAGUUUCACGACGUAACACGGGUGCACUGAGCGGGGAUGAGUGAUAAAACAUUGCCCAGAAUGCAUAAAAAUGAAUGGGUUUUGUCCCCUCGUUCGACCCACUUUGUUACCAAGAUUGAUAGAUUAGAGUCCCCCCCCCCCCCCGCUAGUUUGACCCGCUUUCGUAUCAAGGUUGGCAGAUUAAAGUCCCCACACGCACACACUCCACGUAUCUAAAUGCACGCACGCCCACACACGCACGCACACGUAGGAGUAGGAAACUAUACCAUCGAAUAUUUCAGACCUGUCACCUGCAAGCUGUUUUGGCGCUGAUGCUGAUAUUGCAGCUGCCGCGUUUGUGACAUUGUUUUCCGUUGUUCACGACAGAUGGCAGUAGCGGCGGCCGCCCCGCCUCGUCCGUGUUCUCCCGGCUGGGUGGCGGCAAGUCAGCGUCAGGAGCGGCGGCAGUGGCCAAGUCGACCGACUCUGGUGUCAGCCGCCGCAAGCUGCGCCUCAAGCGACACUCACGAGAUGGCGGCACUGCUGGCGGCGGAGGCUCCGCCGCCGCCGCCACCGCCACCGCCACCAACCCAGCCGAACCGCUCGAAAGCCGCCUGCGCAAAAUCAGAGUGCGCAACGCCGCCAUUGUCAAACGCAGCCGCGAGGUAGCCUCUGACAAGCACCUCUACGGCUGACCAGCCGGCGUCCGAACCACGCCGCGGCUGCUGCCAUCUGUCGGCGGCCCCGCGAGCUCGAGUGACGAAGACGUCCGCUCGGGUGCUGGCUGGCGGCCCGUCGGCCGGAGCGCUGUGACAUGUACAGAGCGUGUGGACGACUGACGGCUGAUGUACAGGGAUGCUUGCGAUGUCGGUGGGCUGAGUGGUCGGCGUGUGGCGGGUGUGCAUGAGCUGGCGUCGGAGCGUUGGCGGUUUGGUUGGCUGUUUACUGGGCGGUUGGUGGGGCUGGCGCGGUGGUGUAGGGUGUGAUGAGCGUGGCUAGGGCGGCUUUAGAGGAUGUUGUCUUUUUGUGUACGCUGAAGUGUCUUUUGUUCAUUGGUUAUCAAACGGAAUACUUCGUGGAUUUGGGAGGACAAUAUUCGUAUGUCGUGCAGCGGUUAUGCACCUGGACGUUUGCUUUUCUUUAACAUCACUCCUAUCCCGGGGUGGUUUCCUCAGAAAGCCAUUUAUUUGCUGCCUCAAUUGUAAUGAUCCGCAUGUAUGUAUGUGCGUAACAGUGUGAGAUAAAAAAGCCACAAGGCAUUGUGAAUACACACCAAUACACAAUACGCAUCGCC